rnacentral:rRNA from 1 species
AAAAGAAACUAACAAGGAUUGCCCUAGUAACGGCGAGCGAACCGGCAAGAGCCCAACUUGAAAAUCUCCCUUUGGAGAAUUGUAGUCUAUAGAAGUACCCUCUGCAACGAGCAGGACCCAAGUCUCCUGGAAAGGAGCGUCAGAGAGGGUGAGAACCCCGUCGGACCUUGCUUUGUUGCCUCACGAGGUGCUUUCGAAGAGUCGGGUUGCUUGGGAAUGCAGCCCUAAUUUGGUGGUAAAUCCCAUCUAAGGCUAAAUACUGGCGAGAGACCGAUAGCGAACAAGUACCGUGAGGGAAAGAUGAAAAGAACUUUGAAAAGAGAGUUAAAAAGUGCUUGAAAUUGUUGAGGGGGAAGCGUUUGAAUGCUCGGGUGCGCCUAGGCUUAUGCAGUCUUAACGGGCUGCUGUAUGUGCUAGGUGCUGGCCAGCAUGGGUUAGGUUAGUAGGAUAACAGCCGGGGUUGUUACCUGGUCUAUACUACUGGCCUGACCAAGGCAUGAAGACUGCCCUUGUCCUUCGGGAACUGCAGUCUCAAGAUGCUGGCGAAAAGCUUUCAACCGACCCGUCUUGAAACACGGACCAAGGAGUCUAACAUGUAUGCGAGCUGGUGGGUGGAAAACCCAUGAAGCGCAAGUAACCUGACUGGUGGGAUGGCCUGUGCCUGCACCAUCGACCGACCAUGAGCUUCUGCGAAAGGUUUGAGUACGAGCAUACCUGUUGGGACCCGAAAGAUGGUGAACUAUGCCUGAGCAGGGCGAAGCCAGAGGAAACUCUGGUGGAGGCUCGUAGAUGUGCUGACGUGCAAAUCGCUUUUCGGACUUGGGUAUAGGGGCGAAAGACUAAUCGAACCAUUUUGUACAGGUGGUUAAGAGUCGUGGUCCAAAGCCAUGGCUAGUGGGCCUUUUGGCUUGCAAGACUGUCAAAUUGCCUGGACAUCCUGUUAAGCCAGCGGUACCGCUUCUUUGGGUGAAAACCUAAUGGGGCACCCUAGGGAAACUUAGGGGUAAGGUAAAAAUCCGCUGGAUAGGGACUAUGGGCAGCCAAGCUCUAAGUGCCUGUGUUGGCAUACGAGUGCAGUUCACAGACUAAAUGGCAGUCGGCUGAUUCCUCAAGAAUUGGCUUAAGAUAUAGUCGGGUCCCACCGAGAGGUGGCUGGUAAGAGGAUCCUUGCCUUAACCGGUAGGGGGAGAGCUUAUCAGGGGCAGAGUAAUACUUGGAAGCGUAAUGCAACCAAGGGCCUUGUGCCUUCUGUCCGAGCAACCGCUAGUAGCUGGUUUCCUCCAAAGUUUACCCCUCGGGAUAGCUUCUGUCAGCUAAAAGUGCCUGGCAAGUCAGCUUGGCUCGUUAUGGUUAGAGUCAAUGUCUGGCUACACGAUCGAAUUGCGGGAAACUCCUUAGCGCCCAAACUACCAACCUAGCAUGGAAACAUAGCUAGGGGCCGGGGUAACGACCUAGGGUAUGGUAAAAACGUUUGGGAUUGGACAAUCCGCAGCCAAGCUCCUAAGGGCACUCAAUGCCUAUGGAGAAGGUUCAGAGACUAAGUGGUCGUGGGCUGAAUGCAGUAUGAUUGCUUUGCAGAGGGCUGAGGCUUAAUUGCUGCUCAGUGAAGCGAAGCAUGAGGCAAUGCCACUGCAGGAGGCUUAAGAUAUAGUCCGGCCCUACCGAAAGGUAGCCUUGGGAAGAAAGGCGUAGCCAGCCCGGAGCCCAAGGGGUCAUGAAUGGCCGUGGAGCCCUUGACCGGAGUCACCGUUCCCCCAGGAUAGCUGGAGCUUGUAUCAGUUCAGUCAGGUAAAGCGAAUGAUUAGAGGUUCGGGGGAUGAAACAUCCUUCACCUAUUCUCAAACUUUAAAUAGGCUGGACGUCUCGGUUGCUUGAUUGAACCGCGGCAUUCAAUGAGAGUUCCAAGUGGGCCAUUUUUGGUAAGCAGAACUGGCGAUGCGGGAUGAACCGAUAGUCGAGUUAAGGUGCCAAACUACGCGCUAACCUAGAUCCCACAAAGGGUGUUGAUUGAUACAGACAGCAGGACGGUGGUCAUGGAAGUCGAAAUCCGCUAAGGAGUGUGUAACAACUCACCUGCCGAAUCAAUUAGCCCCGAAAAUGGAUGGCGCUGAAGCGCGUGACCUAUACUCGGCCAUGGAAGUAAGUGCGAGACUUCCAUGAGUAGGAGGACGUGGAUAUCGUUGCGAAGCCUGGGGCGUGAGCCUGGGUGAAACGGUAUCUAGUGCAGAUCUUGGUGGUAGUAGCAAAUAUUCAAAUGAGAACUUUGAAGACUGAAGUGGAGAAAGGUUCCAUGUGAACAGCAAUUGGACAUGGGUUAGUCGAUCCUAAGAGAUGGGGUAAUCCUGUAUCAAGAGUGCAAUUUGCACUGCCCAUCGAAAGGGAAAAGGGUUAAGAUUCCCUUACCUGGACAAGGCGGCUGACGGCAACGUUAACGAGCCUACAGACAUCGGCAUUGGCCCUGGGAAGAGUUCUCUUUUCUUUUUAACAGCUCGAAGGCCCUGGAAUCGAAUCAUUCGGAGAUAGGGCUCAGAAGCUGGUAAAGCACCGCACGUCUCGCGGUGUCCGGAGCGCCAAUGACGGUCCUUGAAAAUGUAGGGGAGCAGCUACCGAUCUUGCCAGGUCGUACUCAUAACCGCAUCAGGUCUCCAAGGUGAACAGCCUCUAGUCGAUAGAACAAUGUAGAUAAGGGAAGUCGGCAAAAUGGAUCCGUAACUUCGGGAAAAGGAUUGGCUCUGAGGGUUGGGCCUAGGGGUCUGCAUUCAGAAGCUCCUGGCUGUCGAUGGUCUGCUCUGCGGCUUCGGUUGCGGUAGUGGACCGUCGCGUGCCGGGCGUGGACGGGUGUAGAAAGCUUCGGCGUUCCCUAGGCGACGAACAACCGACUCAGA